UGGUGGUUUUUAGCACACACAGCUUGCAGUAGUGCUGUCAACAAAAACAGUGGGUGGUGAUCCUGCCAGCUAAAAUGGUGCUUUAAUGGGGGUAAGGGAGAAAAGAACCGUUCUGCCCCCUCCCGUGGACCCCCUUCAAACAGUGGUUCACUUGGCCAUAUCCCAGUCCUGUUCCUGAAGAGCUCCCUGGUUCUUAACAAGGCCAUCUGGGCAAGGUAACCCCAAAGGCAAACCUUACAGCAGCUAGUAGACCUUCAAAGCAUGUCACACGAAGUAAGAUUGCUCCUCAGAUGCAAGCGGUCUCACCCUGAGCAAACUUAGACCACUUAGGCUAUAAUCAGGAAAUAUCAACGGAGGAAUUCUAAAACUAUCCUAGAGUGAAACACGGGCAAAUUGCUUUAAACUUUUCACUGAACAGAAGUUUCCAAGAUGUCUCAUCAAUGUUGGAGGUUAAUUCUGACAGGGGAGGGAAGAAAGGGACAUCCUUAAUGGCACCCUCUCCAAUCAUGGGAACAGAAGGCUAGGGGUCUUGAGGUCAAGAACUCUGCCUCCUGUUUGGAAGGGGAUUCAUUUUAAUGGUGACAGCAAGGAUUUCGGGUGGCAUAAAAUAUUAAGCUAUCACCAUCACUAAUGAGGCUGGGAAGCUAUACUUGGCUUUUGCCUCCUUGUAUCAAUUAGGAUUUGAUUCAUCAAAAAGGGCAGGAAAUCCAAAUGGCAGUGGGUUAAACAAGACCCCAGAAUAUUUCCUUCCCAAACAGAUGAAGUCUGUGUGAGUAGUCUAGGGUUGAUAUGGGAACUGUGCUCUAUAAUGUCCCCAGAGACGCUGAAUUCCCUCCAGCCUGUGAUUUCACAGUCUGAAGGGAUAGUCUAGAUCUGCACUGUUGGGACCGGGCCCCACCCAGCACAUUCACAGUCCAUGAAGGAGGAUGGAGGGGAGAUAAGGGCACUUCCCUCCCCUAAAGACAACUAAGGGGAAUUUGUGCACAGCAUUUCCACACAUAGCCACUGUGUGGAGUGGGGCCAUUCAAUUCAGAACUACUAGCCACAUGUGACUAUUUCAAUUGAGGGUCCAUGCCUGUAAGAGACCCUGGAGUCACAGAGGUUUUCAUGAUCUUCUCUCUGUCCCUUGAAGACGCAUAUACAGCCCCUAAUGCCUUUCCACCCCCCUUCUCACUCCCUUGCUAGAACAAGCUCUCCAUGGAAAUAGUCAUUAGACAUUCACCAGAAAUGUGGGGAGGGAGCCUUGCCCUACUGUCAAGGCUAUAAUGGGGUGAAAAGGCAGAGGGAAGAGGUGUUCUAGGUAUCCCAAGUUGGAACUCGGCACACUGUUUUACGCAAAGACCACAGUAUGUGGUGGUGAGAUUCUAUGAUUUAAAAUACUGCUCUGUGGACCCAUUUUAGGGUCUAAAGAAUGUAGUGAGCUGAUAAAAAUUUAUGUCUGAAAAUAUCUGAAUUAUGCCCUCGCUUUUGAAGCCUGUCAUCACUGAAUACAGAACUCUAGAUUGGCAGAAUUAUUUCAGGAUUUCAAAAAUAUCAUGUCACCGUCUUCUGGAUGCCACUGUUUCUGUUGAGAAAUCAACUCAAAUUCUUAUUGUUGCUUCUUUGAAGAUCUUAUGUCUUUCUUCCUCUGGCUGCUUCUAGCAUUUUCUCUUUGUCUUUGAUUUUCAGCAAUUUGACCUUGAUGCCCCUAGAUAUAGUGUCCCUUGUGUUUACCUUGUUGAGGUAAUUUCCCCCAAUCUUUAUGAGAUAUCUUUUACCAAUUUGGGAAAUUCCCAAGCAUCAUCUCUUCAGACGUUGCUUCUAUUCCAUUCUUCUUUCCGCUUUUUCUGGGCCUCUAGUUCCAUCUAAGUCAUAUGUAUCCACCACGUCCAUAUAUCUCUUAGGUUCUUUUCUGUAUCUUUUAUCUUUUGUCUCUCUUUUCAUCAGUCUGGCUAUUUUAUUCUGUCUUUUAACUACUUUUUCAUUCAUGUAUUUAAUCUACUGGGUUUUUAAUUUUAGCUAUUACCCUUUUCAACUUUAGAAUCUUGUGUAACUGAUGUCAGUUCUGAAACUUGUCUUUUAAUUCUUCUAACAUAUAAAAUCAUAGUUCUUUUAAAACACAUAUACCUCAACUCCUAUUUUGAUUUGAGAUACCCUGUAGAUCUGUUUCUACUGUCUUUAUUUGCUCUUGGUUUUCGGUCAUCGGUUUGCCAUCUCUUCAUAUGCCUGCUUAUCUCUGAUGGGCUUCUGACGGAAGAUAGGUUUGGGGUACUAGCCAUUCCAGACCACCUGGAUUAAGAUUAAGAUGACUUGAGCUGGGGCGCCUGGGUGGCUCAGUCGGUUAAGUGUCUGACUUUGGCUCACGUCACAAUCUUGCGGUUUGUGAGUUUGAGCCCUGCGUCCAGCACUGUGCUGACAGCUCAGAGCCUGGAGCCCGCUUCAGAUUCUGGGUCUCCCUCUCUCUCUGCCCGUCCUCAGCUCGCACUCUUUCUCAAAAAUAAAUAAGCAUUAAAAAACAUUUAAAACAAAAAGGUUUUGAGCUGGUCUACUUCCUACUCACCCUAACACCUAGGAUGUAGCUUUUGGGAUCUCAAAGCCUGGUGUAUUUACCUUUUCUUUGGCAGGCCCUAAGUUUCAAUCUAGUUGCCCUAUCCCAACUGUCAGUCUCCUAUAAGCUAUACUCUUUAAUAUCUAUUGUCAAUUACGAAAGCACAGCCUGAGAGUCUGUGACACUCAGUCUUGAGGAGAAAAGUGGCCCUAAAUGCUGGGCUCACAGAUCUAGGCCUCCUGAAUCAUACAACUACUCUUUAGCAGACCUUUGCUAAUGCCAAAAAGAUAGCUGUAUAUAUACAUAUAGUCGAGUUCUCUAAUUGUUCUUAGCAAAAGGGUUGGCCUAAAACAAUUUAGUUCUAUUGCCACUAACUUAUGGGGUGAUAAACUUUUAUUUCCAUCCUUACAACAACUAUAGAAAGUACUACUUAUUACUGGCAUUUUCUAUCAGAGAAGAUGAAUGUUUAAAUUUGAUAAUUUACCCAGGCUCAUCAGCUACCAAAAGACUAAGUCAGGAUUUGAGAACAGUUUAGUAGAACUUUAGAGCUGAGUCUCUCUCUCUUUUUUUUUUAUGAGUUUAUUUAUGAACUUAUAAAUAAACAGAGACCACGCACGAACAAGGAAGGGGCAGAAAGAGAGACACAGAAUCUGAAGCAGGCUCCAGGCUCUGAGCUUUCAGCACAGAGCCUGACACCGGGAUUGAACCCACCAACUGUGAGAUCAGAACCACAGCCAAAGCUGGAUGCUCAACUGACUGAGCCACCCAGCUGCCCCAUAGAGCUGAGUCUCUUAACCACUACUUAUUGUACUUUCUCUGAUUUGAUCCUUAAUAUGACUUAAGCAAUAAAGAAACUCAGAAAAUGGCAUGGUGGGGUUCUGAGCUAGCCUUCUGACUUCAAAAUCCCACCCUCCUGAUGCUCUUUCUACUGGAGUUCAGAAUCUAAAUACAUUGGGUUUUGUUGUUUUCCUAUGGCAAAGUAAAUUCGAACUUCAAACAAAUGACAUUUUGAGAUACCAUCACAUUUCAGUUGAAACUAAGGUACUGUCUAUGAUCAGAGCUAUCCUCAUAGUUUCUCUGGGAAAAUGUCUGGAGGUGGCCAAUACUGUUCUCAUUUUUUAGACAGAUAAACUGAGGACUGCGAAGAUAAAGACCCUAGUGAUUGGUUCAUUUAUCCAUUCAAAAAAUAUUGAAUUAGGGGCGCCUGGGUGGCUCAGUCUGUUAAGCAGCCGACUUCAGCUCAGGUCCUGAUCUAAUGCUCCGUGAGUUCAAGCCCUGCACUGGGCUCUGUGCUGACAGCUCAGAGCCUGGAGCCUGCUUCGGAUUCUGUGUCUCCUUCUCUCUCUGCCUGUCCCCCACUUACUCUCUCUCUCUCUCUCUCUCUCUCUCUCUCUCUCUCUCAAAAAUGAAUAAAGAUUAAAAAAAAUUAGAAAUUAAGUUGCACAGAUUUAUAUAGGAGAAGAUGUGCUUACUACCUGGAUACCAGUCACAAUGCUAUAUAUGAUUUUUCUGAUAUAAUUCUGAUGACAAUGCGGUGAAACCACUGAUCAUAUUCCCAUUUGACUGAUGAGAAAAGAGAGGGGCAAAAAUGUUAACCGACAUGUUCCUUAACUGUAAUCAUUAAAAUCUAGGUUGGAAUGAUUAGAGUCCAGGGCUUAGUUCUUAAGUGGUUCAGAGUAGAAAGGAAAAGAGUACAAAUAUCCAAUUCAGUAUUACCUCCUGUGUGACCACGAAUUGUCACUUAAGUAUUCCUUGCCUAAUUUUUAUCACCGACAACAAUGGGAAUUGUAAUACCUGUCUUAUCAAACAUACUACACCAUUGUGAAGAUAUCAUGGAAUAAUGCAUGUAAAAAAUGGUUUGGUGCAAUGCAUCAUACUACAUAAAUGACUGUAAAUAUUCUUAUAUUUAGCUCCAUUGCAUUUUUAUUUAUCUAUUUUUUAUUAUUUUAUUUUAGAGAGAGCGAGCAAGUUGGGGGAGAGGGACAGGAAGAGAGCGAGAGUGAGAGUGACACAGGACUCAGUCCCACGACCCUGGGAUCAUGACCUGAGCCAAAAUCAAGAGUCAGAAGCUCAACUGACUGAGCCACCCAGGUGCCCCUCCACUGCAUUUUUAAAUGGAAUCUUUGACAUCAGUCUAAGAAAUUCUUCUGUCCUAACUAAUGUCAUUGAGUUGUCAAUUUGUUCCUGAAUAUUUACUGAGUGAUCGCUGUGAGUACCAGAGUGGUAGAAAUAGAGACAAUAACAUGAUGAAUUUUGAAUAAUAUUAUAUUCAUAAAAUAAAAAGGGAAAGGCUGGCUAAAAUCCAGUGUUUAAACGAACUAGACAAACAGAACUCCUGCCUUAUUUAGGAGGUGGACAGGGCUUUCCCUCUAUAGGAUUAAAUGUGCAGCUGGCUAAUGUCAGUGAAUUUUCCCUUAAAUAUUUUGGACAUCAAACAAAAAGGGAAUUUAUACGUACUAUAAAUUAUUACAUACGUUUUGGUUUGUAAACUCGUUUAUAUAGAAAUGUAGGUUCCUCUUUUAAGUUGUAGAUUAAGAAUAUCCAUAGAAGCUAUCAAAAUUAAUAUACUUUUGUUUACAUAAAAGCAGGAAUACAUUAUUCAAUAGCUCUUAUUCUGGGCUUAGUGUGUUCUUAUCUGAGAGGCUUCGUGGGUAUUCUGAAAUAACUGUAAAAUUCAUCAAACAAAUGGCAAUGAUUACCAUGAAAUCAGGCUUCUGACUUAGAUUUUUCUGCAAUUAGGGAGAAAGCAUCACACUUGGAUUUAUGUUAUUUAGACUGACUGGGGAAAUCCUUUUCAAAGCCUAAGCUAGACUAUAUAUUUUCAAGAAUUACUCAGUAGAGCUUCUUUAAAAGGCUUUGUUUAAAAAAAUAAGUUAAAUCAGGUUUGAAAAAUCGGACCAUAUUUCUCUGCAGCUUUUGGGCUCAUAAAGGCCACAGUGUGGAUACCGGAUUCUGUUGCAAAGGAAUAAUUAGUCUAUUUGUUUUCCUGUACACUGUAAUCCUGGGUGCUGAGGUUUUUGUUUGAAGCAUUUAAAGGUGUCAGGAAACUGAAUUUGCGGGUGAAAAAAAGGCUCAAUUAGUCUGUAAAGCAUGUCCUUAUGAUGAAUAGAGGGGGAGUGAGGUGGAGUAAUUAUCAACUGUACUUUGGAUAGUCUUACGUAAAAGUGAAGUCCUGUAGUCUGCUCCCUAUUUCUCGUCCUGUUCCCUCAGUCCUUUCACACAGGUCUGUUUCCUCCCAUAGAACUUAGAUCUACAUAGUUGGCUUAUUUGUAAUGUUUAUGUUUCUACUUUGUUUCCCCUAUUAAAAUAUAUCCCAAAGGCCUAGAACAUUGCCUAGUAUGUAGUAGGUAAUAAUUCAAUAUUUUUAAAUGUUUUUUUAAUUUAUUAUUGAGAGAGACAAGAGAUAGAGCAUGAGCAUGGGAGGGGCAAAGAGAGGGAGAGACACCGAACCUGAAGCAGGCUCCAGGCUCUGAGCUGUCAGCACAGAGCCCGACGCAGGGCUUGAACUCAUGAACCGUGAGAUCAUGACCUGAGCCGAGUCAGACACCUAACUGACUUGAGUCACCCAGGCACCCCAUAUACAAAUUACUUUCUAAUUUUCAGGUUAAAUUUGUACUUUCAGCAGAAAUUAUUAACAGUUUUAUAAUUUUAAGCUUACCAUCAUCUAUCUCUAUUUUUUACACUCCCAUCUGAUAGAAUUCUACUUGGCAAUGAGAAAGAAUAAAAUCAUGCCAUUUGCAGCAACAUGGAUGGAACUGGAGGGUAUUGUGCUAAGUGAAAUAAGUCAGUCAGAGAAAGAUAUCAUAUGUUUUCACUCAUAUGUGGAUCUUGAGAAACUUAACAGAAGACCGUGGGGGAAGCGAAAGGAAAAAAAAAAUAGUUACAAAUAGAGAGGGAGGGAGGCAAACCACAAGAGAUUCUUAAAUACAGAGAACAAACUGAGGGUUGAUGGGGGUGGGGGAGAGGGGAAAGUGGGUGAUGGGCAUUGAGGAGGGCACCUGUUGGGAUGAGCACUGCGUGUUGUAUAUAGGCCAAUUUGACAAUAAAUUAUAUUUAAAAAAAAUUCAAUUAUGCCUCAGAGGCUUGUUCAGUGCUUAAACUCAGAUCUGCUACACAGAAUCCUAGGGUCUCCUUCAAACCAAAGCAGCUCUUUAUUUUUUUAAUAGUUGUUUUUUAAUUCAAGUAUAAUUAACAUGCAGUGUUAUAUUAGUUUCAGGUGUACAAUAAAAGGAUUCAACAAUUCUAUACAUCACUCGGUGCUCAUCAUGAUACAUGUACUUUUUUUUUUUUUUAGUCUUUAUUUAUUUUUGAGAGAAAGACAGAGUGUGAGCAGGGAAGGGGCAGGGAGAGGGAGACACAGAAUCCAAAGCAGGCUCCAGGCCCUUGAGCUGUUAGCACAGAGCCCUAUGCGGGGCUCGAACUCAGGAACCGUGAGAUCAUGACCUGAGCCGAAGUCAGAUGCUCAACAGACUGAGCCACCCAGGCGCCCCGACACAUGUAUUCCUCUUAAUUCCCAUCCUACCCCCUCCCCUCCGGUAACCAUCUGUUUGUUCUCUAUAUUUGAGUCUGUUUUCCAAAGCAGUUCUUUAAAAAAGAUCAAACUUUGUUUCCCAAAUAUGCAUCUUUUUACCCAUCUAAUCUCCUAAUACAGUAUCUUAAACACAAAUGAUGAGCAGAGAGUUGGGUGAAUGGAUGUGAAAGAGGUCUUCCAGUACCUCCAUCUGGACCUCAGUCUGUACUUUCUAACUGAUAAAGUUCUGUCCAGAUUAUCUCUUAACUCAGCAAAAGACCCUGCGGGCAAACAUCCCCUGAAGGGAACCUAUACUAACCCCUCCUGUAAUAGGGGCUGCUGAGCCAGCAGACCACGUGUAAUUGAUCUUAAGACAAGGACCGAUUUGACAGACCUUCACUCCCUACCUGCCUGUGCCCACCCACCUCUGUCCACAUUUCACUUAUAUAAAUCUGGAAGUACUUUCGGCACUUUGGAGACAGCCUUUGAGACGCUAGUCUGCUGCCUUCCUGAUGUUGGCCUCACUGAAAUAAAUUCCUUUCUUGUUCUACCACCACUCAUUUCUCUGCCUUUGGAUUUUGUCAGCAGCGAGUAGCUGAACUUGGUCUGUUUGGAACCCCACAGUCAGGUGCUCUUGCACCCCUGUGCCCCGGCUACAGAUGACCGAUGAAUGGAAAGACCCAUCACUGGACACGAAAAAUCCAGGCACUCAACCAUUUUACACAAUCAGUGGGAAAAUCCCAGGACCUUAGGCACCACAUAAGAACAUAAAUUCAAAGCCCAUUUUUACAUCCAUUUACCCACAAUUCUGAUGAUUUUUUGAAGUUGUUAGAAAUAUCCAACUUAUUUCUCACUCACUGCAACUUACAUUCUGCCAUUUUAAAUGUACAUGAUGCUUUAAAAAUGGACAGAUGAAAACUGUAUGUAGGAUUCACACUAUGCUAUCACGUAUCACCUUCUUCCAGAAACUUCCAAGUUGAUCACCUUUAGAUAUUGGAAAAUAUCCUUCCAUCGCUUCCCACACACCCAUAUCUGGUCUUCCUUCAAACUCUAGGAAGCUACAGCGGGGAAUAAUGUGUUAAUGACAUAAGUCAUCAGGCUGUAAAGGAUGUCAUGUUUUUUUUUUUAUAGAGCGGGGAAGAAUAGAAUGUGGCACAUCAGAAUAACAAUAGCUCUUGACAAAUGGGGGCACAGCCAUUCCAGUAAACAGGAACUUCCCUGCAGGAAAACUUCCUCCCCUGGGAUCUGUAAUUUGGCUGUUGCCUUUGAGAACUGAUGAAAGCAAUUACAGGACUGAGAGGCUGAUUUCCCCUGCAUCUGUUCAGGGGAAGCCAGGGAUAAGGUUUCAUUUAUACUAAAGGAAUUCACGGUUUCUUUCAAAGUAGAGCCCUGAAAGAUGAAACCAAUCUCAUCAGAGGCACAGGCACCUUGGUGAGAUGAAAACCCCUUAAGAUUUAGUUUCCCAGGCCUCAAAGGUCAAGCCACUUAUUAAGAGUUAUAACAUUCUGGUCAAAAAUGACCACCUUGAGCGCUUCACAGAAGCCAUACAGGAAACACAGAGCCAUUUUUGUGUGUUUUCAUUAACUGAAAGUAUUAGUGACCGACAAAUACAAUAUUUUAUUAAAAAGCACAAAGGAAAUGGUGCACGGCAGAAUUAAUUUCUUGCUGUCAGUGUUUUAAAAUGCUCUGGUCUGGGA
rnacentral:lncRNA from 1 species